rnacentral:rRNA from 1 species
GAACGGGUGAGUAACGCGUAAGAACCUGCCCUUGGGAGGGGAACAACAACUGGAAACGGUUGCUAAUACCCCGUAGGCUGAGGAGCAAAAGGAGAAAUCCGCCUAAGGAGGGGCUCGCGUCUGAUUAGCUAGUUGGUGAGGCAAUAGCUUACCAAGGCGAUGAUCAGUAGCUGGUCCGAGAGGAUGAUCAGCCACACUGGGACUGAGACACGGCCCAGACUCCUACGGGAGGCAGCAGUGGGGAAUUUUCCGCAAUGGGCGAAAGCCUGACGGAGCAAUGCCGCGUGGAGGUGGAAGGCCUACGGGUCGUCAACUUCUUUUCCCGGAGAAGAAACAAUGACGGUAUCUGAGGAAUAAGCAUCGGCUAACUCUGUGCCAGCAGCCGCGGUAAUACAGAGGAUGCAAGCGUUAUCCGGAAUGAUUGGGCGUAAAGCGUCUGUAGGUGGCUUUUCAAGUCCGCCGUCAAAUCCCAGGGCUCAACCCUGGACAGGCGGUGGAAACU